rnacentral:rRNA from 1 species
CCUGACGGUAGUCGUAUGCUCGUCUCCGAGACUAAGCCAUGCAAGUCCAAGUACACGUCCUUGAACGACGGAAACUGCGAACGGCUCAUUAAAUCAGUUGCGAUCUACUCGGCGUUCCGCGCCGCCGGAUAACCGUAGUAAUUCUAGGGCUAAUACGUGCGAAGCGCCCGAAGCCGCGAGGCGACGGGCGUUCUCGCCGGAUGUAGGAACCGACCCGGGGACCGCCGGGGCAACCCGGCGCCCCCGAGACGGGGCGAACCACGGUGAAAUGACGGAUCGUCGGCCCCGCGCCGGCGACUCGCCGAAUGAGUUUCUGACCUAUCAACUCGAGACGGCGGGGUAGAGGCCCGCCGCGGUAACGACGGGUAACGGGGAAUCAGGGUUCGAUUCCGGAGAGGGAGCCCGAGAAACGGCUACCACUUCCAAGGAAGGCAGCAGGCGCGCAACUUACCCU